UAUUAGAAUACAGUCAGUAUUUUGGCAGACAUUUUAAGGGUGUUUUAAAAUGAAAUAACUAGAGAUGACAAUCUUAGAAGUAGCUGUUGUUUAUAAAUUUAAUUCAGGGGCUUUUCUAUUACCACUUUUUAUCUCCCUGAUACCUGGUACAUUCAUUACACCCUUUUUGCACUAAGCUGGGCAGGUUCUGAGCUAUUCUAUGUUGGCCUGGCCUACUUCUCAACCUACUUCCAAGCCAUGUGUCCUGUUGCCUGCCAUCUUGGUCUCACUCUGGCCUCCUUCAUCUGUGUUAUCUUGGGGACUCCUCAGCUCACCUGAGACUCUCUUUCUCUCUCAAGGCAUGGAAGUCCCAUAUCUUUCCUGCCCAGCUAAUAGGCUGAUCAGCUCUUUAUUGACCAAUCAGGAGAUGAUGGAGAACAGUGGUUCACAAAGUACUGAGCCAGGAAAUGCCCCUAUUUUUUCUUGUCUCUACUCUCGCUCAGCCUGAGUUUUACAUACUACUGUUGGAAGUUUAGUUAGCACGGCUUUGCAGCCUUUUCCUUUCAACUUUCUCUUAUGGAACUAAACUUACCUAUUAAUACUUAACAGUUAUAAAAUUGGAAGUGAGGCAAGUGUAUGUCACUUUUAAGCUGAUUAUUACGUCAGUCAUUCUUAGCUAAAUAUCUUACUUUUCUACAUCCUUGUUUCCCAUUUUUUUAUUUCCUGCUUGUCUCAUUAGCUUGUGAUUAAUGUAUGGUUUUUAGCCUUGUCUUUCCUAGAUAAUCAAAGUAGAACAUAAAAAAGGACUUCUGAAUUUUUUCAUUCACUUUCUGUUUUACUGUGCUUGUCAUGGGCAGAAAUACUUCCCUAACUACCUUCCCACCCCCCCACCCCCCAAGACAGAAUUUCUCUGUGUAGCCCUGGUUGUCCUGGAACUCACUCUCGCCCAUCUAAUCUCUUACUUUCUUACCUUUCUGGCCCCUUCACUUGUACUUUCCAUUGCUAGUGCCAGCCAACUCUAUAUAACUGUAGUUCCUUAAACAUACUCAGUUUUCUGUGCCUUUGGAGUGCCCUUUACUUGGACUGUUAUUCUGCUGUUCCUGGUUCCCUUUCUUGUCAUCUGACAGCUGUUUCAAGCCUGCUUGGUGGUUAUUGACUGGAGUCAUUUUGUUAUGACUCCUCACUUUCUGUGCUCCCAUAGUGUUCCAUUGUUGCCUUUAAAAUUAUACUGGAUUGUUUGUCACCUUAUGUGACUGUAAGCUCUGUGGGAACACAAAUGGAGUCUUUGAUCUCUCCCUGCAUUGGACAGAACACUCAGUGUUCAACUGGAAGAAGGAAAAGAAACUGAACUUGAGUGACUUUCAUGUGCCAGAAAAGUUAAGCUUAGGUAUCUAGAUAGAUACAAUAGAUUACAUUAAGUUGUCCCAAUAGCUUUCUAAAACAUAUGAUUGUACCAUAUAUUAUUUUGCAUUAGCCGCAUCUUAUAGUGAGAAAUCUGAAGUUAAGUAGUUUGUCUAGUAGUUAAGUGCUAGAACUGGGGCGUAAGUGAAGACACAUUUUGACUCCAUAAUUUCUGGUAUUUCAUUUCUGUCACACUGCUUUCUUAACUGUAUAGAUGUAUUAAUGGAGAUGAUGAAGUAUAGUUGUUUAAAGACCGUGUAUAUAGUCAUCAUGCAAAUGCGAGAUUAAAUUUGAGCUUUACAUUUAGCAAUUUUCAGAAUCUUAAUCUCUAUAAACCAAGUUUUCUCUUUAUGAUUGAUAGCAUUAUUUACUUCAUAGGAUUGAUGUUAGAAUUAAAUAAAGGAAUGCAUGAAGACAGUUUUAUGCUGUGUUGGGUACAUAACACGAAUUAGUAAAUUGUAUCAGGUAAGGACAUUUAUAAACAGCUUAUUGACUAGCACUAACUUAAGCAAAAUAAUAAGUAGUAGUAAUAAAAAGUUUUGAGGUAGUCUUCAGUGGGUAACCUCUUUCACAUUAUUGUUGGAUAUCUGUGAAGUUGCAAUUGUUAGCCUACAGCUGGAGUAAAUGAGAAAGAAGGAAGAGUAGGUAUCAGCCAUGUCUGUAUAUCUUACUAGAAGGGAAAAAAAGCCUUUUAAAGUUCACUUUAUAUCUCAGUUCUGAAGUUGGUUUUGUGGAACAGUGUAGUAAUUUAAUUGUUCUCCUAAUUAUCUAAACUUUAAUGAAAAAGAUCAAGAAAGUGGAGCAUAUCAUGUUUGAGAUUAGAUCAUCUUCUUGGGGGAGAGCUCAUGGCUCCCUCACCUAAAGUUAUGGAAAGUAUCUUCCUCAGUGAUUGAUGGUGGGGUUUUGUAAUGAAACAGCCCCCAAAAAUGUUAUACAGUAUGUUUAUUCAUAAUUUGAAGCAAUAAAAGGGCAUUAUGCAUUGUUUCAAUUCAUAUCAAGGAAAAUCUAAGAGUCAAUUAACUGUGUUCCUAUAUAAUAUUUAGGUAUUAACAUAUUUUUACCACUCAAGCGUGAGGACCAGAGUUAGAUCUGCAGAACUCAUGGAAAGCAGGGAUGUACUGGUAGCAUAAGUCUGUGUCUCAGGGCACCUAUGUCAAGAGGGGAAGGAGAAACAUGAGGAUCACUGGAAGCUCAUAGGUUAGCUAACCUAGUGUAUGCAUCUGUGAUCAACAAGAGAUCCUACCUUCAGACAGGAUGGAAGUCAAGGAUUGACACCUGAGGUUGUCUUUUGAUCUCCACAUGAGCCUGUGCACCUGUUACCUCCAAACCCCUUCACACAUU
rnacentral:lncRNA from 1 species